GGAAUUUUGCGCAAUGGGGGAAACCCUGACGCAGCAAUACCGCGUGUGGGAUGAAGGCCUUCGGGUCGUAAACCACUUUUUUCGGGGACGAUAAUGACGGUACCCGAAGAAUAAGCCACGGCUAACUACGUGCCAGCAGCCGCGGUAAUACGUAGGUGGCAAGCGUUGUCCGGAUUUACUGGGCGUAAAGCGCGCGCAGGCGGUGAAUGAAGUCGAAAGUGAAAGCCCCGGGCUCAACUCGGGAACUGCUUUCGAAACCAGUUCACUUGAAGGCGGAAGAGGGAAGUGGAAUUCCGAGUGUAGUGGUGGAGUGCGUAGAUAUUCGGAAGAACACCAGAGGCGAAGGCGACUUCCUGGUCCGAUCUUGACGCUGAGGCGCGAAAGCUAGGGGAGCAAACGGGAUUAGAUACCCCGGUAGUCCUAGCUGUAAACGAUGGAUACUAGGUGUUGGAGGUUUUAACCCCUCCGGUGCCGCAGCUAACGCAUUAAGUAUCCCGCCUGGGGAGUACGGCCGCAAGGCUAAUACUCAAAGGAAUUGACGG
rnacentral:rRNA from 1 species